AGAAUUCCAUAGAUUCACCAUUCUUUGAUUAAAUAAAUUCCUUCUCACCUCCUUCCUGAAGGAACAACCCAGCUGUAUUUAUUGUGCACUUCGAAUAGUGACAAGCAAUCGCAUGGUACUUACCAAAUGUACCACACGUUAGACUGAUUCUCAUUACAUUCAGGUUUGUUGCAGGGCAGCACGGUGGCGCAGCGGUAGAGUUGCAGCCUUACAGCGCCGGAGACCCGGGUUCGAUCCCGACUGUGGGCACUGUCAGUUCGGAGUUUGUACGUUCUCCCCGUGACCUGCAUGGGUUUUCACCGAGAUCUUCGGUUUCCUCCCACACUCCAAAGACGUAUAGGUUUGUAGGUUAAUUGGCUUGGUGUAUGUGUAAAAUUGUCCCCAGUGUGUGUAGGAUAGUCUUAAUGUGCGGUCUCGGUGGGCCGAAGGGCCUGUUUCUGCGCUGUGUCUCUAAAACAAAAAAAGAAACUAAAAAUAUGGUUUAACAGAGUAUCAUUGCUCAAAUGUCUAUUGAAGCUAUCACCUGCCAAUGUCAAUGGCCUCCCGCAGUGUAACUAGCAGCCUGUGUUCUUAAAGAGGCAAUGUGUCUGAUUACUGUGGGGACCGCUAUAACCGAAACCCAUUAUAAAGAGGCCCGUAAUAACGAGGGUAGUUUGUAUUUAAAAAUCGGGUUUAGUGUGGGGGGGAAAAGAAGCAUUUCACAUUUGUCCAAUGUUAGCAUUGACCGCUAUCUGAACAAAACAACUUUAUGUUAUAUUAAUAUUGUUUAGAAUAUUCCUGCUCAUAUAAUUGAAAUACAGUGGAACCCCCUUUAAGCAAGCAUCAUAUCAGUAAUUUCAUUAUUUAAAGAAUUAAAGAAUUAACACAUUUCACUGGGGUUUUUGAAAUGUUUCACUAUUUGGGAGUUUAAUUAUCAAGGGGAGUUCGGUUAUGAAAGAAAUUUCAUUCAAUAAGGAAUUUUAUUAUAAGGUUUCAUUGUAAAGCAUGCUUCAUAAUGAAGGGGGUUUUGUUGUAAUGGUUUCAUUAUAAAGAAGUUUGGUUUUCAAUGUAUUGGCUAUGUUAAUAAUUGUGGUACUUAAAGUGCACAUCCCUCGAACUCAAGUCUUUUCAUAUUCACAUCACUGUGUAUCACACUAAGAGGAAAGAAAUAAAACAUUGUCCAACUGAAAA